rnacentral:miRNA from 1 species
UCAUCGUAAGAGAUCUGCAUU